rnacentral:rRNA from 1 species
AGAGUUUGAUCAUGGCUCAGAUUGAACGCUGGCGGCGUGCCUAACACAUGCAAGUCGAGCGGUAACAGGUGUAGCAAUACAUGCUGACGAGCGGCGAACGGGUGAGUAAUGCUUCGGAAUCUGCCCAAUGGUGGGGAAUAACCAGCCGAAAGGUUGGCUAAUACCGCAUACGUCCUACGGGAGAAAGCAGGGGAUCGUAAGACCUUGCGCCAAUGGAUGAGCCGAAGUCGGAUUAGCUAGUUGGUAGGGUAACGGCCUACCAAGGCGACGAUCCGUAGCUGGUCUGAGAGGACGACCAGCCACACUGGGACUGAGACACGGCCCAGACUCCUACGGGAGGCAGCAGUGGGGAAUAUUGGACAAUGGGGGAAACCCUGAUCCAGCGACGCCGCGUGUGUGAAGAAGGCCUGCGGGUUGUAAAGCACUUUUAGUGGGGAUGAAAAGUUCAGGGCUAAUACCCUUGGAUCUUGACCUAACCCACAGAAAAAGCACCGGCUAACUCUGUGCCAGCAGCCGCGGUAAUACAGAGGGUGCAAGCGUUAAUCGGAAUUACUGGGCGUAAAGCGUGCGUAGACGGUUACAUAAGUCGGGUGUGAAAGCCCCGGGCUCAACCUGGGAAUUGCAUUCGAGACUGCGUAGCUAGGGUGCGGAAGAGGGAAGCGGAAUUUCCGGUGUAGCGGUGAAAUGCGUAGAUAUCGGAAGGAACACCAGUGGCGAAAGCGGCUUCCUGGUCCAGCACCGACGUUCAGGCACGAAAGCGUGGGGAGCAAACAGGAUUAGAUACCCUAGUAGUCC